rnacentral:lncRNA from 1 species
AAGGCACUUGGGCCCGCACAUGGCAGCCCAUGGAUGCACGCAUGACCAAGCCCACGCACAAUCACAAGCCAUGGACCCGGCAAAUCCUUCACUGUGGACCCCUUCAUCACCCGCACUUGCACGGGCCGCCACCUCACCAUUCCUUCACGUGGACCUGCACAUCACUCACGCCUCACCAUCCACACAUGGCCCAUUUCCUCGCACAAUCAAUUCACGCCCAAAUGGGCCAAAGCACAUUCAGCGCA